rnacentral:lncRNA from 1 species
GAGAAUAAAUAUAAUUUUAAUUCUCAUCAAAUCAAUUUAUUUGCAAUAAUACCAUGGUCCUUUGGCAUUAUUUUAGAGGAGAAGGAAUAGACAACAUUUGGAAUGCAUAGAACAAAACAAACACAAAACAAAAAUAGUGCUAGUGAGUGAGAGAAGAUAAAGAGCUCAUGAAAGAGUGAAGAGAAGCAAAGGAAGGAAAAGCUUAACCUCAAUUUAGGGAGUUCACUACAAUCCAA